rnacentral:rRNA from 1 species
CACGUAGGGGGCGAGCGUUGUCCGGAAUUACUGGGCGUAAAGGGCAUGUAGGCGGCUUUGUAAGCCCGGCGUGGAAGCCCACGGCUCAACCGUGGGAUUGCGUUGGGAACUGCGAGGCUUGAAUCAUGGAGAGGGAGCUAGAAUUCCUGGUGUAGGGGUGAAAUCUGUAGAGAUCAGGAAGAAUACCAGUGGCGAAGGCGAGCUCCUGGCCAAUGAUUGACGCUGAGGUGCGAAAGUGUGGGGAUCAAACAGG